CCUACGGGGGGCUGCAGUGGGGAAUAUUGGACAAUGGGGGGAACCCUGAUCCAGCCAUGCCGCGUGUGUGAAGAAGGCCCUCGGGUUGUAAAGCACUUUCAGUGAGGAAGAACGCCUGUGGUUAAUACCCAUCAGGAAAGACAUCACUCACAGAAGAAGCACCGGCUAACUCCGUGCCAGCAGCCGCGGUAAUACGGAGGGUGCGAGCGUUAAUCGGAAUUACUGGGCGUAAAGCGCGCGUAGGUGGCUUGAUAAGCCGGUUGUGAAAGCCCCGGGCUCAACCUGGGAACGGCAUCCGGAACUGUCAAGCUAGAGUGCAGGAGAGGAAGGUAGAAUUCCCGGUGUAGCGGUGAAAUGCGUAGAGAUCGGGAGGAAUACCAGUGGCGAAGGCGGCCUUCUGGACUGACACUGACACUGAGGUGCGAAAGCGUGGGUAGCAAACAGGAUUAGAUACCCUUGUAGUC
rnacentral:rRNA from 1 species